UUUCUAUUUUGAUUUUGAUCAUAAAUCCCCUGCAAUCGCAAGUUUUAGGAUCGGUGCACAGGUAAAAAGUGAGGUUACGCGACGCCACUGGCUUCUUUGGAUUGGGUAGUGAAAUGAUCGUUUCAUCUAUAAGAGGGGAAGAUAAAAUGCACCCGCUUUUUGUUUUGCGCGGGUCGUUUUUUUUUUGCUAUAACUUAGUCAGUUUUGAUCCUGUUGCAAUAGCGAAAACCGACCAGUUAAAAAAAAAAUCUGGUGUAACUGUACAAGAUUGAGAUUAUUGAAUUAAUUAUUUGAGAAAAGAAUGUAUAACAUGUAAUCAUAUCCGCGUGAGUGAUGUCUUUAUGUAUACACAUAUUUUUACUUUGCGAACUGGGCUAUCUGAGUGUUGAUUUCAAUUUAAAUCAAUAUGAUACGGUUUCGGCAUUAAAACAUUACUUGAUUGUGCUGACCUCGGCAAAAAGAAAGAAAAAUUCGGCAAGUAUGUAUUAUUUAAGGGUAUAGGUUUUUUUAUUACAAAAUUUUCGGCGAUACCUACGAGAAAAGAUGUCUCUAAUAAGUACACAAUAUUCAUCAUAAGGACUGUACAUCUUUGAGGCCCUGUAUUAAAAAGACUAAUGGCGGUAAGCUCCACAGAGUACUAGACGCCAAUCACGUAUUAUCCUCGAUUUUCCUAAGCACCAUGAGAUAUUAUCUUUGAUUUUAAUCCGAGAUUUAACUUAAGUGCGCCGAUUUCGGCGCACUAAAAUAAAUCCCAGAUUUGCAAAAAGUUGGCUGCGUUCUUAAAUUUGACUACACACCUACUACUACACCGCGAACCAUGACAUAAAAAAUGAAAACAAGAACGAGAAAACAAAACAUUUUCGCGUGAUUGAUUGCCCGAGCCGGCACCCAACAGACCCGCUGUGAAUUCUCCUGCUUGCGGUAACUAAACAAGUUUUUAUUUUUGUGAUGCAAAUCGUUGGUCUUUUCUAAACUUUCUAAACUGGAAUCGACAAUCUGGACGAGAUACGAAAGUGCAAUAGACAAGAGCCACCGGAUGAGCCAGAACCAGUUGGCCUGAACUGCAACUCUUCUGAAUCCGGAUGAUAGCGGCCGUUGCUCAGCGGAAGUUUUUCAUUGUGUACAACUGCUAGAGGAUAGGAGAAGAUUACGCAGAAUUUGGAAUGGAAGUAGAUGAAAGGUUCCGCCAAAAAUGUUCCGGGGAACGAUUCAGACAACGGGGCAAACGUUUAUUGCGGCCAGGCGGCGGUCCAGAAGAAGGCGAUGCUAAUUAAACGAAGGUACGGUGUGAAGUGCGAUGGGAAAUUGACCGGGUUGGUACGGCGCGGCGUCCUACUUCAAUUUACUAACAUGUUUUUCCGGAAAGUGGGGUGGAGCAGCUGGAGGUAAUACAAUCCAUCGAGGCUCGACCGCAUUAUCAACUCCGCCAACCAAGACGCAUCAAGGUUCCUAGAUCGUUUGAACAAAGUAAUGGAAUGAAGAACAAAGAUUUUCUUCACCUCUUGGAAAUUCUAACUUGAUUCUAUUCUGCCCUAUUUGGGCUUGUGUUAAAAUUAUAAAUUAAUUUUAUUUUCUGCCAUGAA